AUUGAAACACCAGUUAUUGUCUGAUCACCGAAGUUAAACGAUGUUGAACCUGUUCAGUACCUAAAUGGGUGACCACUUGGGAAUACCAGGUACUGUAAG